AGCGAACGCUGGCGGUAGGCCUAACACAUGCAAGUCGAACGGCAGCACCGUGAGUGGUUGCUGUUGCGUGAGUAGCGUGUGGGAAGGUGCCGGUAGACAUGGGAUUCUACUGUUUCGUGUGUGCUAACGUAGGGAAACUUACGCUAAUACCGCAUACGUCGUACGUGGGAAAGCAGGGGAUCUUCUGACCUGUCGCGAGUGGAUAUGCCGGUGUCGGAUGAGCUAGUUGGCGGGGUAAAGGCCUACCAAGGCGACGAUCGGGAUCGGGCCUGAGAGGAACAUCAGCCAGACUGGCAGUGAGACAGGGCCGAGACUUCUGCGGGAGGACGCAGUGCGGAAUAUUGCGGAAUGGGGGCAAGCCUGAUCCAGCGAUAUCGGCUGGGUCAAGACGCCGUUAGGGUUGGAAAGUCCUUUUGUUGGGAAAGAAAAGCAGCAGUUUAAUCCCCCGCUGUUAUGACGGUACCCAAAGAAUAAGCCCCGGCUAACUUCGUG
rnacentral:rRNA from 1 species